rnacentral:rRNA from 1 species
UACGGAGGGUGCAAGCGUUAAUCGGAUUUACUGGGCGUAAAGCGCACGUAGGUGGUUUGUUAAGUCGGAUGUGAAAUCCCCGGGCUCAACCUGGGAGCGGCAUUCGAUACUGGCAAACUGGAGUACGAGAGAGGGGGGUGGAAUUCCAGGUGUAGCGGUGAAAUGCGUAGAUAUCUGGAGGAACACCGGUGGCGAAGGCGGCCCCCUGGCUCGAUACUGACACUGAGGUGCGAAAGCGUGGGGAGCAAACAGGAUUAGAAACCCGAGUAGU